UGGGGAAUAUUGCACAAUGGAGGGAACUCUGAUGCAGCGACGCCGCGUGAGUGAUGAAGGAAUUCGUUUCGUAAAACUCUGUUCUAUGGGAAGAAAAGGACUGUACCAUAGGAGAAAGCUCCGGCUAAAUACGUGCCAGCAGCCGCGGUAAUACGUAUGGAGCGAGCGUUGUCCGGAAUUAUUGGGCGUAAAGGGUGCGCAGGCGGCUUUACAAGUUGGAUGUGAAAUAUUGUGGCUCAACCACAAACGUGCAUCCAAAACUGCAAAGCUUGAGUUAAGGAGAGGUAAGUGGAAUUCCUGGUGUAGCGGUGGAAUGCGUAGAUAUCAGGAGGAAUACCGGUGGCGAAGGCGACUUACUGGACUUAAACUGACGCUCAGGCACGAAAGCGUGGGGAGCAAAC
rnacentral:rRNA from 2 species